rnacentral:rRNA from 1 species
AUGGCGAACCACGGCGCCCUGGCCGCGCCGCCGCCGCCGCCGCCGCCCUUGCUGAGCUCGGAGAGGUACACCGUGCCGAUGUCGCCGCAGCCGAGCCGCCGGAGCAGCCGGAAGUCACCCAUCCCGAGGGGCCCGUCCCGCGCGCGCGCCGCCAGGACCGCCUUCCACCUAGGGUCGCCCCCCUUGUGGGGCUUCCCGCCCACGCCGCCGCUCCCGCCGGCGCCGGCGGUGCCGUUGCUCCAGUCGCUGGCCGCGCUGCUGCUGACGCUGGUCUUGGCGCUCCGGCUGGUGACGGUGCAGCUGGGCGCCAUGCUGGUGCAGGUGGCCGUGACCGCCCCGCCGCCGGAGGAGCUGUCGCCCAUGCUGCUGUGCGGGCUCGCGGCGCCGCUCACCGGCGGGGACGCGUCCCACACGAUGACCGGCUUGGCUGGCGGCGGCGGCGCCUUCUUGUCGCCCCGCCCGUGGUCCACGGCCACGAGCACGGGGUCCAUCUCGUCGACCGGCUCCGGCGGGUGGCUGGCCCCGGAGAAGGAGCUCCUCGGCGGCGCCCCGUCAUCGUCGUCGUCGUCGCCCUCGCUGGACGCAAUGCUGAGCCUCACCUUGUCGAACGCAACAAGGACCUCCUCCUUGUCCUUGGCGGCCGCGGGUGCCGCCGGCUUGGCGCCGGCGUCCAUGUCGAAGCGGAAGGCGUCGGGCAGGAAGUCGAAGCGGAACUCGAAAUCCUGGGCGGGAUCUGGGCGCACCUGCGCGAGCUGGGAGCGGGAGCGCGCGUGGCCCGGGGCUGACCUCGGCGGCUUGGCGUGCGGUGGAGGGCGAGAUGACUGCAUCACUCACUCCUUGGCUUGGCUGACUCCUUGUCCUUGA